CCUUCGCGGCUUGUUUCAGGUGCUCUGUGGCGCGCGCGUCGACAGAGUGAAACAGGGAAGCCGGUGAGUGAGCGCACUUGUACACAGUGCUGCCGCAAUUCCGGCGCUGCCCCCGCAACGGUAAAUGAGUCAAGACGGUGCCUUUUGCCACUGUAUCGCCCGCGAUAUGGGAAGGCGCGCCGUCGGUGUGAUUGCUCUGCAGAUUAGAGCAAGUGCGCCACUCAUGAGCCCGGAGACCGGCCUGGAUCAUUCAACAGCA
rnacentral:ncRNA from 2 species